rnacentral:tRNA from 1 species
AAGACUUUAAGUUAAAUAAACUCAGAGCCUUCAAAGCUUUAAAUAGGCAGGGCCUAAGUCUUA